UUGCGACCGAAUCACGUUCAAACACCGGAUCUCGUACGAUCACCGAAGUUAAGCAACAUUGAGCUUGGUCAGUACCUAGAUGGGUUACCGCUUAGGUAUGCCAGGUGUUGUUA